rnacentral:rRNA from 1 species
AGCAGCCGCGGUAAUUCCAGCUCCAAUAGCGUAUAUUAAAGUUGUUGCAGUUAAAAAGCUCGUAGUUGAAUUUCGGGAUCAGUACGCUGGUCGUGCCUUUGGUAUGUACUGGUGUCACUGAUUCCUCCCUUCUGAAGAACCGUUAUGCCAUUUAUUUGGUGUGGCGGGAAAUCAGGACUGUUACUUUGAAAAAAUUGAGUGUUUAAAGCAGGCUCGCGCUUGAAUACAUUAGCAUGGAAUAAUGAAAUAGGACGUUUGAUCUUAUUUUGUUGGUUUCUAGGAUCGACGUAAUGAUUAAUAGGGAUAGUUGGGGGCAUUAGUAUUCAAUUGUCAGAGGUGAAAUUCUUGGAUUUAUUGAAGACUAACUACUGCGAAAGCAUUUGCCAAGGAUGUUUUCAUUAAUCAAGAACGAAAGUUAGGGGAUCGAAGACGAUCAGAUACCGUCGUAGU